GAACUUAGAAAAUUGUCUAAGCGACAUUACUUGUUCAGACUUGACUGUAACUAAAUGUUGUGAUCAAUAUUGUGCAAUAUACGUGCAGAAGAUUCACAAUUUCCUUUUAUAAUUUUUUUAGCCCAGAACUCACACAUUAUUGUUUUCAUGUCUUCUUUCAUCAGUCAGUGUAUUUAUUAUCCCUACAAUUGUCUAGCUGUCAGGUCUCCCAGAAACCCUCUAAAACCAACGAUGCUGUAAAACCAGCACAUAUUGGAAGGCACUUUUUUUUUCCAGCAGGGAAUAUAAACAUUCAGUUUCAGAGGGAGGGCAUUUAAACGGAGAUAGAUGCAAACUCUGCCCACAUCGACGGCGGCCGUUUAUGGAGGGUGCUGAACAAAAGGACUUCAAAGAGAACACUUUUACAAUGAAGAACCGAUUUAGGGCUCUCAGUGUUAUUCUGCCCGAUAACACAGAACUGAGUAUGACUGUCGGGUUUGAAGACCGAGGUCAAGACGUGUUAAAACAGCUGUGCGAGUUUCUCGACUCUUCAAGGCUUCCCCUCUUUGGUCUGAGUGUGGUAAAGGACGAUCAACCCCUGUUCUUGGAUCUGGAGCAAAAAUUGUCAUUGUACCUUCCGAAGUCCUGGAGAAAGAAUACAUCAAAGGAGAGAGUGACGCUCUCCCUGAAAGUGCAGUAUUUUAUAAAAAACGUCGAAGUAAUUUUAGACAGUGAAGCCCGUAAGCUGUAUUAUGCUGAGCUGAAGGGGAAGGUUUUGAGAUCUGAGUGCUUCGAGCAAGAAGGACUGUACUUCCAGCUGGCCGCCUACGGCCUGCAAGCCGAUCUCGGAGAUUACAAAGAACAUAACUUUGCAUACUUCAGCGCGCAGGGAUUUUUUCCUUUUUGGAUAGUUCAGAAGCACGGGAAUGAUUAUAUUCUGAAGCACACCCCAGCCCUGCACAGAGAGCUUAAGGGAAUGUCGUCCAGUGAGGCUGCCUUGCUUUUCAUUCAGGAAUCGUUUACUUUGAGUGAUGUGCCUCUCACCAUCUACAGAUUGACCAAAGAAAAGAAUAAACGACAGGGUUGCGUCCUCAUUGGGGUGGCAUCCACAGGACUGCAGAUCUCUGAGGUACUGAAUGGACAACAGCAGUCUGUGUGUGAUUUGCCAUGGCCCUCCAUUCAUUCCAUUACUUUUCAGGGCAGAAAGUUUGAAAUUCGUGCCGAUGGGUUGCACGAGAAAAAGCUGGUGCUCUAUAGUCUGUCUGUCCUUCACGCCAAAAACCUGCUGAAGCACAUAAGCAGCAGUCACCAACUGCAUCUCAGCAUGAAGCCCUUGGUCACGAGGCUCAGGGGAAAAAAAGGGAGACACAGAGAGAUGUACAUCACAGAUGGAGCUGAUCUGAACACAUACGACAGUGACGAUGAGCUUCCGCCGAUGAAGCUCCUCUUAGACAGGGUCCAAAAGCAAACCACCGGCUCCUCUGAAUGUAGAAACGUCACAGGUAGUGAUGCUUCAAAUGGCUUUUGCUGUUUGGAGAUGAGUGUUGAUGAGCCCGAAGAAAUGUCUGUAGAUGAUCCUGAAGAUGUCCUGCGUUUAAUUGAGCUGGUGGAGGGUGUAUCUGUGGAUGGUCCUUUAUUUUUGCCAAUUUCUCAUUGAAAAUAUGACAAUAAGAAAGUUUGGGGUCAGCAAGACAUGCAUAAAAUACACACAGUAGGUAUGAAACUGGAGGCGAAAAACAAGCCAUGGAGGGCAGACUGCUUUGGAAUGCGCAUGCUUCGAAAUGAACUAGGACUAUGAAGCCUUUUAAAAUGCAUCUGCACAUUAUGUCCCUAAAUAUGCCACAUGGAAAAUUGUUUGCAAAGCACACUGAAGCGUGUGAGCUGUGGAACAAGCUAUGGAAGUAUUGCAAAAUAAUACUGGUAAAACCAAGUAAAUAGAUCACGAUGAGAUGGAAAUGAUGUUGUGUUGACUCAGGCUGGUUAAUAUGAGUCAUAUGUAGUAUGCCCCAUUCAGGAAAGAAGGCGUGGCUAGGCAUUGACAAGGUAGGCUGUCUUUAAGUGGUCUUUUUCACAUCAUGCAUUCUUUUGUACUGGUGAGUUUGCCUAUCUUUCUUUGCAUGCUGUAUUCAUCAGUUAUUUUUUUUAACACCCAAAGGGCUUGUCAUGUAUGUUAAUGUAGGUUUUUUAAGUUAGUUUUUUUUUAAUGUAAAUUGUAAUAUAGUACUGUUGUUCAUUUUAAGAUGAAAGCUAUGAUUAAAUCUUCAUAUGAAUAUAUAUAUAUACGGAAAUGAUUCUUUGCACAUGUAAGAGUCGGUUGAUGUCGAGCCAGUGAUGUAACAGAUAAUAGAUAAUUAAAUAGUGAUCCGUGCCAGUAAUUUUAAAAGACCUUUAGUUUAAGUUUGACUUGCAGAAAAACACGCGUUGUCUGGUCGAAUCUUGGAGCAGAGCCUUUUAAGUACGAUUUUAGAUUUCAUAUUUUGUUUCCGGGUAUGAAUAUUGGCGCUUAAAUGUAUAAAAAGGUAUCACUUUCUUUUUUCUGGUAAUGCUGUGGUUACAGCAGAUGUGGAAAUAGUCUUCACACUCAAGUCGGUAGCGAAACUUUGCAGUUGGAUGUAGAACAAUAUCAAUCAAACCCACUGUUCAUGAAAAUGCUGCACCUUGAGAAGGAUUAAAUCUUACACUUUUUGUCAUUGCUUGCAAAUGUUCUUCCAUGAAAGAGAGGGGAGGAGCGGGCAGCAGCUCAUUAUCAUUUAAGACAUUGCACCGAAACAAGACAGAGCUGUGAAGACUCUAAAGAAUCAUACCGACUUGUCCCCUUUAAAAGACUCCGCAAAAUCAGACUGAGAUCAGUCAAGUUAAUUGCAGAUUUAAAACCACCAAGAAGCAGUUUAAUGGACAUAGACGGUAAUAGAUAUGAUACCGUUUUUGAAAUAAAAUCUUUUCAUAGCUAUGAAACACCGACAUUCAACAGUGCAUGGGAUCUUAAAAAAUUAAAGCUUACAUAAAGCCAAAUAAAUAAAACAGUUAAGAAAUAAGAAUGUGUUUUAUUUUGCGUCUAAAAUCCUGAAACAUCGUUGUCUCAAAUUUUAGAGCAGUCGGUGCAUUUAGGGAAAGAAUUCAAUUGCGUGUGUGUGUAUAUAAAAUGACUAUUUACUCACCAAUUGCACAACGGAAGCUAAAAUUUUGAUUGACCUCUUCUCGCAGACAGUCCUAAAAAGUUCCUUUUCCUGCUACGUGAUGUUGAUCGUUUCAUUACCUUUAGAAUGUAAUCCAUGUUGAUUAAAUCAGUAAUUUGAGUUGACUCGAACACAAUUCUGAAUUCGGAAUCAUUGAAACAUCGUGAGCAUGAUAGAAAAAAAUUAAUAAAUCAGUGUGUUAGUGUAACUGUGGUGCAUCUCUCUCUCCUUUAUGUGUUCAUGAUGUUAAUUAACGUUUUAUUUUUUGGUAAUUCAAGUGACUCGCAAGGUCUCUCUCCAUUUCUGUGUUCUUUGAACUCAAACUUGCAUAUAAUUCACAGUACUUUACAAUUUUAUAUAUAUAUAUAUAUAUAU